GCCCCCUUCACGGUCUCAAUGGGCGCGUCCCUUACGAAACCCAGACGGCCUUCCAAAUCUCAACGUUUCUUCCGACUUCCGGUAUUUUCAAAGUUUCCUUUUUUUUUUUUUAUUUGGUUUUGUUUUGGAACAAAAACAGCCCCCGGCUUUCCUCGCAACAACCAUUUUCAGUUCGUCACUCGAAAUCUCGAAAUUAUCGUUGUGGAAUGGCCCCCGAUAUCUCCAUCAAAUGAAUUUUUGAUCUUAUUUGUUGUUUUUGUUCUAAACAGUCAUGCGAUUCCAUUCCUUGUCUCUGAAUCUACAGUAUUUCUCUUCUUCGGGACUCCUUCCAUCCCCAAAACGACACAGCUCUGUCCCCGUUUUAUCUCGCCUCGGGUUCCUGUCCUCUUCUCGGCUUCGCGGUGCUGCUGCUUCCAGUUUCUACUCGCCUCUCAAGUUACAGUUAAAACGAUCAGAAAAUGUACGGAAGCGAAGGAGACGAUCUCGACACGACGUCGUUCAAGUUAACGCUACCGAUGAUGACUCGGCGGGAAUUUCUUCGUUUGAUGACUGGGUGGUUGACGAUUCGGUGGCAGCGUAUAUGUUUUCUUCAUCAAGUGAUGGGGAAGAUAGCGAUGGGGAAAUUUUAUUAAACCCUUUGACUGAGGUGGAUUUGCCACCUGUGAGAGUCUCGACUGAUGAUGCCAUAACCAUGACUACCCAUCGGCUUGCUUUGAUUGGAAGAGGCCAAAGAAGACACAGGAUAUAUCUUGGGCUGUUAAUCAACUUGGCUCUUGUAAUCUUCCUGACAGUGGUUCUUUUAUUUGUGGAUUGGUGCGGAUGGAAAAUUGUCAGGCUACCCUUGGCCCCAUUCUACUUGACCUCCCCAUUUUUCAUAUCUUUGAUUUUGGCGGCAUGUGCAGGUUAUGUUUGUGUCCCGUUGCUUAAAGGUCUUAAGUUCCUCCAAAUAAUUAGGAAAGAAGGACCUGCUAGACAUUCCAGAAAGAAGAGAACCCCAACGAUGGGUGGACUGUUUUUUAUUCCAGCUGGUAUAUCUGUUGCGAAAUUCGUAACUGGUUUUUCUUCUAUUGAAGUUUCUGCUGCCACAGCGGCAACCUUAGCAUUUGCUGCAAUUGGGCUACUUGAUGACGUCUUAAGUUUCAUCAAGCAACAAAACAGUGGCUUAUCUCCGUGGUUAAGACUAUUUUUGGAGGCAACUGUAGGGAUUUGGUUUUCAUUUUGGUUGGAUGCUGCAAGUUUAUCCUCACCCUAUGGCAUGAAAAUGUUGGUUCCUCUACCUCCACCAAUGGGCAUCAUUUACUUGGGAAAAUAUUACCUAUUGUUGACUUCAUUUUGUUUUGUUUCCAUGGGAAAUGGGGUUAACUUAACAGAUGGUCUUGAUGGUCUGGCUGGAGGAACUGCUGCAUUAGCUUUCAUUGGAAUGUCAAUUGCAGUGCUUCCAGUAUGCCCUGGAAGAUGCUGUUAUUUUGGGAAACUAUUUGUUGUCACUCCUUGUAUUCUUACAACUUGCUAUAUUUGGAGCAUCAAUGGCGGGGGCCUGUGUUGGUUUUCUUUUGCACAACCGGUAUAAAGCAUCUGUUUUUAUGGGUGAUACUGGAUCCUUGGCCCUUGGUGGUGCAUUAGCUGCAAUGGCUGCUUGUACCGGAAUGUUCUUUCCCUUAUUCAUUUCAUCAGGUUUCUUUGUUUUGGAAGCAUCAUCGGUUGUUUUGCAGGUGUUAUACUUCAAGACAACAAAGCACUUGCGAGGAAGUGGGCGCCGCCUGUUUAGAAUGGCACCUUUUCAUCAUCAUCUGGAAUUAUUGGGGCUCAAAGAACCAAUGAUUGUUGCUGUUGCAUACAUUGUAUCCUGUGUGUUGGCCUUAUUAGCUGGUUAUAUAGGACUUAUAUCGGCAUAACAUCUGCAAUCAUUUUUACUCACCCCCAAUUUAUUUCCUUAGUUAAAGUCAUAAAAUAUUCAUUUCCUCUUCUUUCUGAAUCUAUUAUUUAAAAUUUUCACCCUUCACACAUUUAGCCUUUACAAAAUUGGAAGAGAAAAUGUACCCACAUACAACUUCUGUAUGCAUUUUUUGACCUGGAGAACUGAUUGUAACAUGAGCCUAUAAGACAAAACACAGCAGUUUAUUUACCUUGGAUGAAUGACAGUUAUACUUUCAGAAGUUCUUUGGUUGUACUUGAGGUCAUCCUCUAAUUAAAUGCAAGAUAUGAUAUAGUAUA